GAUGAACGCUGGCGGCGUGCCUAAUACAUGCAAGUCGAGCGAACAGACGAGGAGCUUGCUCCUCUGACGUUAGCUGCGGACGGGUGAGUAACACGUAGAUAACCUACCUAUAAGACUGGGAUAACUUCUGGAAACCAGAGCUAAUACCGGAUAAUAGAUUGAACUGCAUGGUUCAUUAUUAAAAGACGGUUUUGCUGUCACUUAUAGAUGGAUUCGCGCCUCAUUAGCUAGUGGUUAAGGUAACGGUUUACAAAGGCAACGAUUCGUAUCCGACCUAGGAGGGUGAUAGGCAACACUGGAACUGAGACCAGGUCCGGACUCCUACGGGAGGAAGAAGUAGGGAAUUUUCCGAAAUGGCCGAAAGCCUGACGGAGAAAAGUCGCGGGAUUGAUAAAGGUCUUCGGAUCGUAAAACUCUGUUAUUAGGGAAAAAGAAAUGUGGAAGUAACUAUGCACGUUUUGACGGUACCUUAUCAGAAAGCCACGGCUAACUACGUG
rnacentral:rRNA from 1 species